GUGUGUGUGUGUGUCCUGAUGGCGUCAGGCGAGGGAAAGCGAGAGGGAAAGCACGAAUAUAUAUACACCUGGCCACGCGGGUCUCGACACACCUGCAAGCAACGCGUCAACCAUCAGUUUUUUGCCAGUCAGCCAUACGGAGGACUGAAUCAUGCGCUGUCUCACUCUCUUGACCCUGGCGGUGUAUGUGACUCUCUCCCUCGCUAGACCGCCGCAGGAACUCACGCUCAGGGACAGAAACGGAAAGAUACUGGUAUUUGUCUUUCCGGAGUCAGCAGGAAACUUAUACGGGCAAGGAGAUACAACGCAUGGCGGGGAAACAUCAUCAACAACAGAAACAACAGGGGAAUCAGGAACAACAGAAGCAUCAGGAACAACAGAAGCAUCAGGAACAACAGAAGCAUCAGGAACAACAGAAGCAUCAGGAACAACAGAAGCAUCAGGAACAACAGAAGCAUCAGGAACAACAGAAGCAACAGGAACAACAGAAGCAACAGGAACAACAGAAACAUCACAUGGGACGACCCAGCAUAAUGGAGGAGAAAAUGUUGAAGAGGGUGGUACGGUACAUGAGAAUAGUAACCCAAUUUAUGCAACUGAAACAACUUGUAUGGGUAUUGUUUGUCGGACGAAGAUACUGAAUUAGUGUAGGUGUUUUGUUAUUAUUGUUGUUGUAGUUGUUGUUGUUGUUGAUUUGUUUGAACACGUACGUAAACAAUGGUAACCGAGUGUCACAUUUAAAGCAAAUUAUGUCAGACGAUGGUAUUUAAUUAGUGCAGGUGUUAUUUGUUGUUAUUGUUAUUAUUGUUGUUGUUGAUUUACCUUGUAUAUUUUUUUAUUUUAUUUUGUUUUGUUGUUUUUGUAAUACUUUCCACCUCAUUCCCAGUGUCACUACACGUGUAUUUUAAGUCAUAUAUAAAUUUAUCUGCACUUUGCAUUUGUGUUAUGUAUCUCUCUAUUAUUUUACUAAGGUGAAUAAACCAUUACAAUUUUU